rnacentral:lncRNA from 1 species
ACACGCGGGGGACGGGGCAAACGGGGGGCCCCCGGAGAGCCAGCCUCAGCCCCGGCCUCGCCGCCUGCUUCUCGUGCCUCCCUACGCGAGGCGCAGACGUCCAGCCGCCAGCAGCCGGCAACCGAGCCCCCGCCUCCUGCGUCUCCGCCGGCCUCUCCAGCCGCGAGGGCCACGCCAGGGCGCGGGGCGGGCGGGCAACGUGGGCACCGGGACCGCGACGGGGCGGCCAGGCAGCCGCGCCCAGGACCCAGGCGGCUCCGAAUCCCAAACACACACGCACACACGCGCGCGCACGCCGGCCAAUCCGUUCGCCCGGAGGAGUCGGAAGGCGCUUUCCCAGCUCUUCAUUCAUUCCCCAAAGGCGAGGUUCCUUCACCCGGCCGCCUCCAUCCCGCCCUCCCAGGGGGCUCCCAGAGGGCCCACUGCGCCACGCGUCCUCUCCACCCGCACCCGCAGCCCAACGCCCUGGCGCUCCGGCACGAUCGCCGCCGCCUCCCCGGUUCCCCCACGGCUUCGGCGCCCCGCAGCCCCCGCUCCCCGCCGCCGCGCCGCUCAGACCUGCCGCGCUCGGCUCGCCGCGCCCAGUCGGCCGGGGCCGCCGCCGCCGCCGCCGCCGCCGAGAAGCGCCGGCAACUCCCGAGUCCCGCCGCCUCCCGAGCCACGGCCGGCAGCCGGGAGGGGGCAGGGGGCGGAGGGCCGAGAGGAAGGAGGAGGGGGCGGGGAGCAAAAGUUCAGGCCGCUCCGGGCCCGGCCGCGCCCCCGUCUCCUCCCACGCCCGCCCCCGCGGUGUCCCCCGCCGGACCGGGUCCCACAGGCGUGGAUGCCUGGGGACCCCCCUCCCCCGCCGCGUCCUCCCGCCUCCUCGGCCCAAAGCACCCGUGGCACCGGAGCGGGAGGUCCGGGGGUGGCUGCCAGCCAGGGUCGGGGAGAGAGAGAGGCGGCUGCCCACUUACCUGCCCCGGGCUGCGCCUGGAAACUUCCCCGAAGUGCGCGGGGGAGCCGAGCAUCUGGCUGGGGGAAUUCCCGCCCCCCUCCCCCGACCACCACCACCCACCCGGCGCGCGCUCACACGGUGAAAGCACCGGUCUGUCUGUCGGUCGGUCCGUCCGUCCUCCGCCUGCAGCUUCCAGAGCGGGGCGGCGCGGGGGCGCCCCGACUCCGACUCCCGGGGCCGUUCUUCUGGGCAGCCGGCCCGUGCGUGCCCCGCGGCGUGCGCCCCCCGCCGGCCUCCGGCCGUCCGCAGCGCCACCACCCCUUCGCCUCGUCCCCUGUCCCCGAGCUCCGGCUGCAUUCUCUCGAGCCAAGGAGGGGGCACGCGAGUCCCGGCGCCACCGCCGCCGCCGCCGCCGCCGCCGCCGGGCAGCCCUUCCCGCGGGGUCGCCGGCGCGCGGGGUGCCCGGAGGCGGCCGGGACCGGCGGCGAGGGGACGCCCCCGCUGAUGUCCGCGGGGGGUGGGUGCGGGGGGGGGGGGGGCUUCGGGAGACUGGGCCGAGGGGCACGGGGCUCAAACCUGCCUCGGCUCGGCGCGCUCGCAAGUUCAUUGUCUGCCUGGGCCGCCGCCGCCGCCGCCGCCGCGCCGGGAGCGCCGCGGGGAGUGAGGCUGCGCGCAGCCUCCGCCGGCCCGGACUCCCUACGCCCAGCCCCGCCGCCGCCCGCGCCGCCCGGCCGGAACGCGGAGGGGCGCCGGAACCCGGAGCUCCGAGCCAGACCUCCGCCCGCCGCUCCUCGUCGCCCCCACCCCCGCGCCUGGCACCCAACUUGUACCUGAGAAGCCGGAGUCCAGCCCCGGAGCCUCUGCGGCUCGGGCUCCGCGGGAGCGCGCCCAGCCCGGCGCCUCGAGCCCCGCAUCCAGGGCGCGUCAACCUGACUCCCCGAGCGCAGGGAGGAAAAGUUUGGGAGUGA